GAUGAACGCUGGCGGCGUGCCUAAUACAUGCAAGUCGAGCGAACAGACGAGGAGCUUGCUCCUUCGACGUUAGCGGCGGACGGGUGAGUAACACGUAGGUAACCUACCUAUAAGACUGGGAUAACUUCGGGAAACCGGAGCUAAUACCGGAUAAUAUUUCGAACCGCAUGGUUCGAUAGUGAAAGAUGGCUUUGCUAUCACUUAUAGAUGGACCUGCGCCGUAUUAGCUAGUUGGUAAGGUAACGGCUUACCAAGGCAACGAUACGUAGCCGACCUGAGAGGGGGAUCGGCCACACUGGAACUGAGACACGGUCCAGACUCCUACGGGAGGCAGCAGUAGGGAAUCUUCCGCAAUGGGCGAAAGCCUGACGGAGCAACGCCGCGUGAGUGAUGAAGGUCUUCGGAUCGUAAAACUCUGUUAUUAGGGAAGAACAAACGUGUAAGUAACUGUGCACGUCUUGACGGUACCUAAUCAGAAAGCCACGGCUAACUACGUG
rnacentral:rRNA from 1 species